UAGUGUGUUACCUAUUAUAUUGCCAAAGAACGGCAUUCUGACUUCUGCCCUGUGACUUCCUGAUCCUCCUGGUCUUAUAAAUACAAGGGUAGAGCUGGGGUCCUGCGAGCCCAGGAGUCCUCAGGCCAGCUCUGACUGCCCACCGGGAGGAUGAAGGUCUCUGACGCUGCCCUCCCCUUCCUCAUCCUUGCUGCUGCCCUUGGAACCCAGGCCCGGGUCAUACACGGUAUUAACACCUUGAGCCCUCCUAACAACCCUGUGGGAUACAGAGACAAGAGAACUCAUGAUGGAAAUGCAUAAGAUGACACGUCCAAUGAUUCGUGGCUUUCACCGCCCUGCUGACUGCUGCUUAUCCUACACCUCAAGAAGGAUCCGCUGUGUAUUCAUGAGAGAUUAUUUUGUAACGAGCAGUAGCUGUUCCCAGCCUGGUGUCAUCUUCUACACCAAGAAGGGGCAACGUGUCUGUGCCAACCCCAGGGACAGUCAAGUUCAAGACUGCAUGACAAACCUGAAGCUAAAAUCAGAUAUCAGGGGCCCACGAAUAAGGACACUUGCUCACAGGAUGGAACACCAGUUGCCAGACAAUCCACCUCCAGCUGUCUUGCCCCAACUGCCUUAUGAGCAUCCCUUGGCCUGAAUUAUUUUUCUAAAAACAACAUUUAUUCUUCUGUUCUGGUUUUAAAGCAAUACAUCCAAUAAAGAAUAUCUAAUCUGCUUUGCUUGAA